rnacentral:rRNA from 1 species
GACGAACGCUGGCGGCGUGCUUAACACAUGCAAGUCGAACGAAGAGCGAUGGAAGCUUGCUUCUAUCAAUCUUAGUGGCGAACGGGUGAGUAACGCGUAAUCAACCUGCCCUUCAGAGGGGGACAACAGUUGGAAACGACUGCUAAUACCGCAUACGAUCUAAUCUCGGCAUCGAGGAUAGAUGAAAGGUGGCCUCUACAUGUAAGCUAUCACUGAAGGAGGGGAUUGCGUCUGAUUAGCUCGUUGGAGGGGUAACGGCCCACCAAGGCGAUGAUCAGUAGCCGGUCUGAGAGGAUGAACGGCCACAUUGGGACUGAGACACGGCCCAGACUCCUACGGGAGGCAGCAGUGGGGAAUCUUCCGCAAUGGACGAAAGUCUGACGGAGCAACGCCGCGUGAGUGAUGACGGCCUUCGGGUUGUAAAGCUCUGUUAAUCGGGACGAAAGGCCUUCUUGCGAAUAGUGAGAAGGAUUGACGGUACCGGAAUAGAAAGCCACGGCUAACUACGUG